rnacentral:rRNA from 1 species
GAAUAUUGCACAAUGGGCGCAAGCCUGAUGCAGCAACGCCGCGUGAGGGAUGAAGGCCUUCGGGUUGUAAACCUCUUUUAGUAGGGAAGAAGCGCAAGUGACGGUACCUGCAGAAAAAGCACCGGCUAACUACCUGCCAGCAGCCGCGGUAAUACGUAGGGUGCAAGCGUUGUCCGGAAUUAUUGGGCGUAAAGAGCUCGUAGGCGGUUUGUCGCGUCUGCUGUGAAAGCCCGGGGCUCAACCCCGGGUCUGCAGUGGGUACGGGCAGACUUGAGUGCGGUAGGGGAGAUUGGAAUUCCUGGUGUAGCGGUGGAAUGCGCAGAUAUCAGGAGGAACACCGAUGGCGAAGGCAGAUCUCUGGGCCGUUACUGACGCUGAGGAGCGAAAGCAUGGGGAGCGAACA